rnacentral:misc_RNA from 1 species
GAUGAAGAACGCAGUGAAAUGCGAUACUUGGUGUGAAUUGCAGAAUCCCGUGAACCAUCGAGUCUUUGAACGCAAGUUGCGCCCGAAGCCAUUAGGCCGAGGGCACGCCUGCCUGGGCGUCACACGUCGUUGCCCCCCCAUCUACUCCUUCGGGAUUGCGGGGGGCGGAUGAUGGCCUCCCGUGCGCCUCGCCGCGCGGUUGGCAUAAAUGCCAAGUCCUCGGCGACGCACGCCACGACAAUCGGUGGUUGCGAAACCUCGGUUGCCCGUCGUGUGCGGUCGUCGCGCAUCGAGGGCUCGAAAAAAUUGCCGGGUUCCGGCUCGGCUUUCAACGCGACCCCAGGUCAGGCGGGGUUACCCGCUGAAUUUAAGCAUAUCAAUAAGCGAGGA